rnacentral:rRNA from 1 species
AGGAAACUAAACCAUUUUUCCACCUUAGUACGGGAGACGGAAAGGGUAAUUUUAAGCAAUAGAGAAAGUACCGCAAGGGAAAGCUGAAAGAGUAAUGAAAUAAUUCAUAUAAGCACAAAAAAGCAGAGCUUAACCCUCGUACCUUUUGCAUCAUGAUUUAGCCAGCACCACACAAGCAAAGUGACCUUUAGUUUGAAAUCCCGAAACCAAGUGAGCUACCCCGGGACAGCCUAUUUGGGCGAACCCGUCUCUGUGGCAAAAGAGUGGGAAGAGCCCCGGGUAGAGGUGAUAAACCUACCGAACUUGGUGAUAGCUGGUUGCCUAAGAAGUGAAUAGAAGUUCAGCCUCGUACCCCUUUAGCCAAUCAAGAAAUGUCUAAGUAAGCAUAUAAGAGAAAUACGAGAGUUAGUUGAAGGGGGUACAGCCCCUUUAAUAAAGGACACAACCUUAAAUAGGAGGAUAAGAGUCACAUUUUAUAAAACUAGUCGUCCCAGUGGGCCUAAAAGCAGCCAUCUGAAUAGAAAGCGUUAAAGCUCAAACGACAUGCAGUUUAUUAUACUGUUAAAUAACUCAACUCCCCUAAAAGUAUUAGGCCGUUCCAUGCCCCCAUGGAAGAGACCAUGCUAGAAUGAGUAAUAAGAGGGUAUUGACCCUCUCCUAGCACAAGUGUAAGCCAGAUCGGACAAACCACUGGAAAUUAACGAACCCAUAAAAAGAGGGUAAUGUGUUUACUAAAGAAACCAAGAAAACAACACAACACUUGUAUCGUUAAACCCACACUGGAGUGCCAUCAAGGAAAGACUAAAAGAAAGGGAAGGAACUCGGCAAACACAAGCCUCGCCUGUUUACCAAAAACAUCGCCUCCUGCGAACCCCAAUGUAUAGGAGGUCCAGCCUGCCCGGUGACUACAAGUUUAACGGCCGCGGUAUUUUGACCGUGCAAAGGUAGCGCAAUCACUUGUCUUUUAAAUGAAGACCUGUAUGAAUGGCUAAACGAGGGCUUAACUGUCUCCCUUUUCAGG